ACUUACAAAAGUUUCGAACUCGCGAACGUUUAAUCACGUUCCCUACUCCGAAGGGGUAACUGCAUUGCUUCUGGGUACGUCUCACCGUUCGGGUCUCUCGAGCUUUCGGUGUCAGUUGUUACCGUUGAAGGAAGAGAAGCUGGUGACGGAUAUUAUCGAAUAAAUCGUUUAUUCUGGAAAAGUUCGAGUAAGUUCGUUCUGUUUGAAUAAAUCAAGACAUAGAUCAAUUUUUAUCGUAUCAUCGUGAUUCGCCAUGUCGUACGUUUGGUUUCGGGAUACCAUAUGUUUUUAAUUUGGUACUUUUAAUUUGACAUUUUACGCCUAUAAUCGUGACAAGAAGAUACUUUCAGUGAAUUAUAAAUAUUUUAAAUUAUAAAUUAUAAAUAUUUGUUAUAAAUUACAAUCAUA
rnacentral:misc_RNA from 1 species